rnacentral:rRNA from 1 species
AGCUCCAAUAGCGUAUAUUAAAGUUGUUGCGGUAAAAAAGCCCGUAGUUGGAUUUCUGUUGAGAGCCGCCGGUCCGCUCUACGAGCGUGCAUCUGGCUGGGUCUCGGCAUCCUCUCGUGCGACGCUUCUGCGCUUGAUUGCGUGGGGCGGAGGUGCGGGACUUUUACUUUGAGGAAAUUAGAGUGUUCACGGCAGGCAAGCGCCCUGAAUAUGUUAGCAUGGAAUAAUGAGAUAGGACCUUGGUCCCAUUUUGUUGGUUUCUGGAGCUGAGGUAAUGGUUAAUAGGAACAUUUGGGGAGAUUUGUAUCAAUACGUCAGAGGUGGAAUUCUUGGAUUGUAUUGCGACAAACUACUGCGAAAGCAUUUCUCAAGGAUGUUUUCA